UACAGGGGGUGCAAACGUUGCUCGGAAUCAUUGGGCGUAAAGCGCACGUAGGCGGUUCGUUAUGUCGGAUGUGAAAGCCCUUGGCUUAACCGAGGAAGUGCAUCCGAAACUGGCGAGCUAGAGUACGAAAGAGGAUCGCGGAAUUCCCGGUGUAGAGGUGAAAUGCGUAGAUAUCAGGAGGAACACCGGUGGCGAAGGCGGGUCUCUGGGCCGAUACUGACGCUGGAGGAGCGAAAGCGUGGGGAGCGAACAGG
rnacentral:rRNA from 1 species